CUGCAGCCAAUUAAGCUGACUGUGCUCUUUCCCCGUGGGGCCCACUGUGCAGUGGCUGUGAACAGCAGCCUCCUUGGUAGUGUAUGCAGCCUGUUGGUUGUACGGGUUGCCCUAUGGGACCUUGGAGACAGUU